rnacentral:lncRNA from 1 species
AAAAAAAAUUUCCGUUGAUACUUUUUUUUUUUUUUUUCUGUCAUUCAAAAACAUACAUUUUGUUCCUUUAAAAAAUAAAAAAUACUCACUUUAUAUAACUCUCGUCGUCAGUAUUCUGUUACAGUUCUGCUUAUAUCCUAUUUUUUAUACCCAAAAUAUUUCUAAAAUCUUUCUCAUUCCUCAUCCUCGGUCACGCCGCCUUGCCCUCCUCCGCCUCACCCUCGCCCACCUCUCGGUUCAUGCCCACACACAUGCUCUCUUCCGCCUCCGCUGCCUCACCCUCGCUCGCCUCUCAGUCCAUACCCAUAAACACGUUCUCGUCCGCCUCCGCUGCCUCACCCUCGCCCACCUUUCCGUCUACGCCCACUCUGAAAAAGACGAAAAGUAAUUUAAUCAUUUUGUCACAGUGUAUUCCUCUGUGAAUAAUUUUUAUUUUUUAAAGGGAUAAAGUAUCGAUUUUUGAAUAACAUGAAAAGAAAGUAAACAAACGGGUAUUGACGGGAGAUCUAGUUUUCUAUAAUUAGUCUAAAAUUUAUAUUCUAUUUGUGAUUU